UACGUAGGGGGCAAGCGUUGUCCGGAAUCAUUGGGCGUAAAGCGCGUGUAGGCGGCCCGGUAAGUCCGUUGUGAAAGUCCAGGGCUCAACCCUGGAAAGCCGAUGGAUACUGCCGGGCUAGAGUUCGGAAGAGGCGAGUGGAAUUCCUGGUGUAGCGGUGGAAUGCGCAGAUAUCAGGAGGAACACCUAUAGCGAAGGCAGCUCGCUGGGACGACACUGACGCUGAGACGCGAAAGCGUGGGGAGCGAACAGG
rnacentral:rRNA from 1 species